rnacentral:rRNA from 1 species
ACGGAAGGCAGCAGUGAGGAAUAUUGGUCAAUGGGCGGAAGCCUGAACCAGCCAAGUCGCGUGAAGGAUGAAGGUAUUAUGUAUUGUAAACUUCUUUAGACGUAGAGAAAUAAGGGUGUCGUGACACCUGAUGCUAGUAUACGUAGAAUAAGGAUCGGCUAACUCCGUGCCAGCAGCCGCGGUAAUACGGAGGAUCCGAGCGUUAUCCGGAUUUAUUGGGUUUAAAGGGUGCGUAGGCGGUUUGUUAAGUCUGUGGUAAAAGCGUGUGGCUCAACCAUACCAAGCCAUGGAAACUGGCGGACUUGAGUGUAAACGAGGUAGGCGGAAUAUCACGUGUAGCGGUGAAAUGCUUAGAUAUGUGAUAGAACCCCGAUUGCGAAGGCAGCUUACCAGCAUACAACUGACGCUGAGGCACGAAAGCGUGGGUAUCAAACAGGAUUAGAUACCCUGGUA